CUACGGGAGGCAGCAGUAGGGAAUCUUCCACAAUGGGCGAAAGCCUGAUGGAGCAACGCCGCGUGAGUGAAGAAGGUUUUCGGAUCGUAAAACUCUGUUGGUAGAGAAGAACGUUGGUGAGAGUGGAAAGCUCAUCAAGUGACGGUAACUACCCAGAAAGGGACGGCUAACUACGUGCCAGCAGCCGCGGUAAUACGUAGGUCCCGAGCGUUGUCCGGAUUUAUUGGGCGUAAAGCGAGCGCAGGUGGUUUAUUAAGUCUGGUGUAAAAGGCAGUGGCUCAACCAUUGUAUGCAUUGGAAACUGG
rnacentral:rRNA from 1 species